rnacentral:snoRNA from 1 species
CCAACGUGGAUACCCCGGGAGGUCUCUCUCCCCAGGCUCUGUCCAGGUGGCUCAGGGGAGCUAGGGCUCAGCCCAGUGAUGUACAACCCCAUUCCACAACGUUGGAGAUGAAGCUGGGCUCUCGAGCCUGCACCUGCAUAUUCCUACGCUUUUCUGAGUCUUAUAGACAAUGACUGAGGAGACAAACCAUGCAGGAAACAGUU